rnacentral:rRNA from 1 species
UUGAAGAGUUUGAUCAUGGCUCAGAUUGAACGCUGGCGGCAGGCCUAACACAUGCAAGUCGAGCGGUAGCACAGAGAGCUUGCUCUCGGGUGACGAGCGGCGGACGGGUGAGUAAUGUCUGGGAAACUGCCUGAUGGAGGGGGAUAACUACUGGAAACGGUAGCUAAUACCGCAUAACGUCGCAAGACCAAAGAGGGGGACCUUCGGGCCUCUUGCCAUCAGAUGUGCCCAGAUGGGAUUAGCUAGUAGGUGGGGUAACGGCUCACCUAGGCGACGAUCCCUAGCUGGUCUGAGAGGAUGACCAGCCACACUGGAACUGAGACACGGUCCAGACUCCUACGGGAGGCAGCAGUGGGGAAUAUUGCACAAUGGGCGCAAGCCUGAUGCAGCCAUGCCGCGUGUAUGAAGAAGGCCUUCGGGUUGUAAAGUACUUUCAGCGGGGAGGAAGGUGUUGAGGUUAAUAACCUCAGCAAUUGACGUUACCCGCAGAAGAAGCACCGGCUAACUCCGUGCCAGCAGCCGCGGUAAUACGGAGGGUGCAAGCGUUAAUCGGAAUUACUGGGCGUAAAGCGCACGCAGGCGGUCUGUCAAGUCGGAUGUGAAAUCCCCGGGCUCAACCUGGGAACUGCAUUCGAAACUGGCAGGCUAGAGUCUUGUAGAGGGGGUAGAAUUCCAGGUGUAGCGGUGAAAUGCGUAGAGAUCUGGAGGAAUACCGGUGGCGAAGGCGGCCCCCUGGACAAAGACUGACGCUCAGGUGCGAAAGCGUGGGGAGCAAACAGGAUUAGAUACCCUGGUAGUCCACGCCGUAAACGAUGUCGACUUGGAGGUUGUGCCCUUGAGGCGUGGCUUCCGGAGCUAACGCGUUAAGUCGACCGCCUGGGGAGUACGGCCGCAAGGUUAAAACUCAAAUGAAUUGACGGGGGCCCGCACAAGCGGUGGAGCAUGUGGUUUAAUUCGAUGCAACGCGAAGAACCUUACCUACUCUUGACAUCCAGAGAACUUUCCAGAGAUGGAUUGGUGCCUUCGGGAACUCUGAGACAGGUGCUGCAUGGCUGUCGUCAGCUCGUGUUGUGAAAUGUUGGGUUAAGUCCCGCAACGAGCGCAACCCUUAUCCUUUGUUGCCAGCGGUUCGGCCGGGAACUCAAAGGAGACUGCCAGUGAUAAACUGGAGGAAGGUGGGGAUGACGUCAAGUCAUCAUGGCCCUUACGAGUAGGGCUACACACGUGCUACAAUGGCGCAUACAAAGAGAAGCGACCUCGCGAGAGCAAGCGGACCUCAUAAAGUGCGUCGUAGUCCGGAUUGGAGUCUGCAACUCGACUCCAUGAAGUCGGAAUCGCUAGUAAUCGUAGAUCAGAAUGCUACGGUGAAUACGUUCCCGGGCCUUGUACACACCGCCCGUCACACCAUGGGAGUGGGUUGCAAAAGAAGUAGGUAGCUUAACCUUCGGGAGGGCGCUUACCACUUUGUGAUUCAUGACUGGGGUGAAGUCGUAACAAGGUAACCGUAGGGGAACCUGCGGUUGGAUCACCUCCUU